AGGAUCCUGGUCCCGCCUCCAGGUCUCUUCCCGCGUUGCGGCGCACGCCCCCCGGGAAGGCCGCACAGCUGAGGUGCUUGGUUGGAGCAGGGUACCCUGGAGGAGAAUGCGAAGAGAGGAUGAGUGAUCCUUGGAGGCAGUAACGGCACGGCCAGGAAGACGAAAUUCCCGAAGGAUCAAGGCCUGAGUUCCUACUGUGGCAACAGGGUAAUUUAAGACAUGAAGCCAACAGGUACAGACCCAAGGAUCUUAUCUUUAGCUGCUGAAGUUGCAAAAAGUCCUGAGCAGAAUGUCCCUGUUAUACUGUUGAAGUUAAAAGAGAUAAUAAACAACACACCUUUAGGAAGCUCAGAGUUGAAGAAAAUUAAACAAGAUAUAUAUUGUUAUGACCUCAUUCAGUAUUGCCUUUUGGUGCUCAAUCAAGAUUGUUCUCGAAUCCAGGGAGGUUGGACUACAAUUUCCCAGCUUACACAGAUAUUAAGCCAUUGCUGUGUGGGCUUGGAGCCAGGAGAAGACGCAGAGGAAUUUUACAAUGAAUUACUCCCAUCAGCUGCAGAAAAUUUUCUGGUUUUGGGGAGGCGAUUACAAACAUGUUUCAUCAAUGCAGCUAAGGGUGAAGAAAAAGAUGAAUUACUUCACUCUUUCCAAAUUGUGACUGAUUCUCUCUUCUGGCUCUUGGGAGACCAUGUUCAACUCAUCCAAAAUGUACUACAAAGUGAUCAUUUCUUGCACUUACUGCAAACUGACAACGUUCAAAUAGGAUCUACAGUCAUGACUAUGCUACAGAACAUACUACAGAUUAACAGUGGUGAUUUACUCAGAAUAGAAGGAAAAACCCUGCAUUCAAUUUUAGAUGAAGUUGUUUUCAAGCUUUUAUCAACUCCUAGUCCAGUUGUAAGAACUACUGCUACAAAGCUUCUACUGCUGAUGACUGAAUCCCAUCAGGAAAUUUUGAUUUUACUGAGACUAAGUGCCUGCUACAAAGGACUCAGAAAUCUACUAAAUAAAUAUGAGCCUGGGACAGAGUUUAGUCAAGAAAUUGGACAGCUCAUUGCUCUUUUAACCCCUAAGGUCUAUCAGGAAGUAGAAGAACAGAAACUACAUCAAGCAGCUUGCUUGAUUCAAGCUUAUUGGAAGGGUUUCCAAACUAGAAAGAGAUUAAAGAAGCUUCCAUCUGCUGUGAUUACUUUGCAGAGAAGUUUCAGAUCUAAACGAACCAAGAUAUUACUAAAGCUAAAUAAGCAGAAAGAAGAAGAGCACCGCAGAUUACAGUUGCAACUUCAAAGACAGAGAGCCAUGAGAUUGUCCCGAGAAUUACGGCUGAGUAUGCUCGAAAUAGUUCAUCCAGGUCAGGUGGAAAAAUAUAAUCGGGAAAUAGAAGAGAAAUCAGCAUUGAUUAUCCAGAAACACUGGAGAGGGUACAGGGAAAGGAAAAAUUUUCGCCAACAGAGGCCAUCUCUCACGGAGUAUAAAGCAGCUGUCAUACUUCAGAGAGCAACUCUUAAAUUUCUAGAGAAGUGUCGUAAGAAAAAGAAGCUAUUUGCUCCUUGGCAAGGACUUCAAGAUCUCACUGAUGCACGCAGAGUUGAACUGAAGCAACAAGUGGAUGACUAUCUCAGAAGACAUCCGCAUAUAUCCUCAGAUAUUUUGGAGUACCUUACCUAUCUGUCCCAGUGACUGUGCCAGGUGCUGGGGAUUGAAAGAAAGAAACAAAGUUCUCUCAAGAGCUCUUUGUCUGGAGACAGAAAGAGGAGAAAAUGAUGACACAGCAUGAUAAUAGUAUAAAACAAGUGUUUCAGAUUCAGAGACAGGAGAAAGGAAGCCUGAUCAACUCUCUGAAUAUUAUGAAGUUGUACCAUAAAAAUAAAUUAUAUACAGAGGAUUCAAAGAAGAUGUUGGAGUAGUAAGCACCCGGAAUCUGUCCACUCACCUAGACAACAAUUGCACUGGUAGAAUAUGUGUCAUAUGACUAUUUUGGAACUCCUGAGUCUAUGGAAGGUUUGCAACUUUUAGGGGGAGGUUUGGAAGAUAAAUUGCAGUUAAUUUUAGUCAGUUUCAGUUCUAAGCACAAGAUCAGCUACCUUAUCCUCCACCUCUGCUCCCCACCCUGGCAUCCUGGCAGGUAGCUUUGCGUGUUUCUGGAGCAGCUUACAUACAAUUUGUCUAAGCCAGGGUGAGCAGAAGGACCCUGUCCUCCAAAUACUGGUGAUCUGUGCUUUGGUCAAUGACUGCUGCAGAGAUGCAGACAAAAAAUAGGGUGGCCAUUGUUGUUUUACCUACCUCCAUUGUUUCAAGUCACUCCCCCUGUGGCUGAAGUGACUUACAGGGGAUUUAAAGGGAUGACGCCUCUUUUUACCCUCCCCUCAUUUUUUUUUCUUUUUCCUUUUUGGAAGCAAGACAUUAAAAACUAGGACAUUCAAGGGCGCCUGAGUGGCUCAGUCGUUAAGCAUCUGCCUUCAGCUCAGGGCGUGAUCCUGGGGUUCCGGGAUCAAGCCCCGCAUCGGGCUCCUGGUCCGCUGGGAGCCUGCUUCUUUCUCUCCCACUCCCCCUGC